rfam:Parcubacteria bacterium GW2011_GWA2_47_8 TY09_C0001, whole genome shotgun sequence.
AGUAAGUCGUAAACUAGUUGCGACUGUAGAGAGUAAUCUCUAACAACAAACUCGGCUAUUUGCUGGAAAAACUGUGAAUCUUGUACUACUCAUUCGUUCAUAACAUAGAUAUUAUGCGCAUUGUGAGUGAAAAUGUAACAAGUGCAGCCAAUCAGCAGGGAAGUCCGCUGUCCGUUUCAAAUGGAUAUGACCCCUCAGAGACUACACGCCGAGCGCCUAGCGUAUCAGAGGUUCAACAUUAUUUCUGGGGAGUAAAACAUGAUGGAACAAAAGCAAAGCUCCAUAACAGCAUACGAAUUGCUCAAAAGGAGCGAGAAUGGCUUACGUUUCUUCAAAAAUUACUCAAACAUAUCGGCCAUAAUUCUUGGAUAUACAAAGAGGGCAAGGAACGCUCAGUAUAUAUUCUCGAAACCUAUGCCGAAUUCAUCCGACAGGAUAGGAAUCCCACAGACAUAAUUUCGAAAUCUGAUCAAAUUGCUUACAUUCGAGGCUUCUUUGAUGCCGAAGGCGGCAUACCUCAAAAAGGGCAAGCGAGAUUUUAUAUCCAGCUUGUUCAAAAGGAUUAUAAGAAGCUUCAAAUUAUUAAGGAUUGGCUUACUGCACUUGAGAUUGGUGUCGGAAAGAUACAUAAUCCAAGCGCAAGAGUUGAUCCACAUUAUUGGAGAAUGUUUGUUCGAACACAUUCCCACCAACGAUUCAUGAGCAUUAUUGGCUCAUGGCAUCCGCGGAAACAAGCAAUUUUCGAAUCUAGGAUGGUGAUAUAGUCCAUGCCUUAUGGCGACAUAGGG